rnacentral:rRNA from 1 species
GACGAACGCUGGCGGCGUGCUUAACACAUGCAAGUCGAACGGAAAGGCCCUGCUUUUGUGGGGUGCUCGAGUGGCGAACGGGUGAGUAACACGUGAGUAACCUGCCCUUGACUUUGUGAUAACUUCAGGAAACUGGGGCUAAUACCGGAUAGGAGCUCCUGCUGCAUGGUGGGGGUUGGAAAGUUUCGGCGGUUGGGGAUGUACUCGCGGCUUAUCAGCUUGUUGGUGGGGUAGUGGCUUACCAAGGCUUUGACGGGUAGCCGGCCUGAGAGGGUGACCGGCCACAUUGGGACUGAGAUACGGCCCAGACUCCUACGGGAGGCAGCAGGGGGGAAUAUUGCACAAUGGGCGGAAGCCUGAUGCAGCAACGCCGCGUGCGGGAUGACGGCCUUCGGGUUGUAAACCGCUUUCGCCUGUGACGAAGCGUGAGUGACGGUAAUGGGUAAAGAAGCACCGGCUAACUACGUG